UAAGUAUAUAGUCCAUAGGAUUGGAAAAGUAGCUAAGAAGACUAUAGCUAGAAUACACUAGCAAUCUGGUUUUAUAUGGACGGUGCCUGCAAAUGUGAUAUGUGUGUAAGUCACUAGUACGGUCGAAAGUUAAAUACUUCUCAGCUCUGUUACAUCGUGUACACAAGAGGAAUCCUGGCUAUAUGGUUGCAUGGGGGAUGACAUUUACAACAGGAAAGUUGCGAGGUACUCAAAACGAGCAGAACAUUGAAGUCCAAAUUAGCAAAUAUGAUAAACGGUG